rnacentral:lncRNA from 1 species
UUUUUGCUUUUAGGCAACUUCAUGUUAUAACCAUUGAUGACUAAGCAUCCCAUUGGCCAGCCUAGGAAAGCUGAUACUCUUUUACAACUUAGAAAUUCUGCUCAAAAUGGAUGUUUUCUGCAUGCAUCUAACAACAACAACAACAAAAAGCCUGAAAAAUCCACUGUAUACAUGGCUGUCUGUGAGAGAAGAGGGGAAUGGCCCUUCUGAGAUUCCUGAUUAAGAACCUGAUGGAUAUCUGUCUAUUCAGUCCUGGAAGACUGCAG